CAGCAACAACGUGACAGACAUGUUCCCUGAAAUCCCUUUCUCUGAUGAACUCCGCCAGCAAUACUGCCUGGAUACAUGGGGCGUGUGGCCUCGGCCAGACUGGCUGCAGACCAGCUUCUGGGACCUUAAAGCAGCCAGCAACAUCAUUUUCUCCAACGGUGACCUAGACCCCUGGGCAGGGGGUGGGAUCCAGCGCAACCUGAGUACAUCAAUCAUUGCU
rnacentral:lncRNA from 1 species